rnacentral:rRNA from 1 species
AAUGAACGUUGGCGGCGUGGAUUAGGCAUGCAAGUCGAACGAGAUCUGUAGCAAUACAGUGAAAGUGGCGAAAGGGAGAGUAAUACGUAGGUACCUGCCCUCGGGUCUGGGAUAGCUGCGGGAAACUGCAAUUAAUACCGGAUGACGUCUCUGGACCAAAGGUGUGAUUCCGCCAGGGGAUGGGCCUGCGUCCUAUCAGCUAGUUGGUGUGGUAAUGGCGCACCAAGGCUAAGACGGGUACGGGGUGUGAGAGCAUGCCCCCGCUCACUGGGACUGAGAUACUGCCCAGACACCUACGGGUGGCUGCAGUCGAGAAUCUUCCGCAAUGGGCGCAAGCCUGACGGAGCGACGCCGCGUGUGGGAUGAAGGCCUUCGGGUUGUAAACCACUGUCAGUGGGGAGCAAAUGCAUCGGGGUUCUCCCUGGUGUUUGAGCGAUCCGCAGAGGAAGCACAGGCUAAUUCCGUGCCAGCCGCCGCGGUAACAC